rnacentral:rRNA from 1 species
GACGAACGCUGGCGGCGUGCUUAACACAUGCAAGUCGAACGGAAAGGCCCUGCUUUUGUGGGGUGCUCGAGUGGCGAACGGGUGAGUAACACGUGAGUAACCUGCCCUUGACUUUGGGAUAACUUCAGGAAACUGGGGCUAAUACCGGAUAGGAGCUCCUGCUGCAUGGUGGGGGUUGGAAAGUUUCGGCGGUUGGGGAUGGACUCGCGGCUUAUCAGCUUGUUGGUGGGGUAGUGGCUUACCAAGGCUUUGACGGGGAGCCGGCCUGAGAGGGUGACCGGCCACAUUGGGACUGAGAGACGGCACAGGCGCAUACGGGGGGAAGGGGUGGGGAAUAUUGCAGAAUGGGCGGAAGACUGAUGAAGGAACGCGGCGUGCGGGAUGACGGCCUUCGGGUUGAAAACCGCUUUCGGCUGUGACGAAGCGUGAGUGACGGUAAUGGGAAAAGAAGAACGGGCUAACCACG